rnacentral:rRNA from 1 species
CGUCUUCGGCGUCCGAGUUGUAAUUUGAAGAAGGUAACUUUGGGGCUGGUCCUUGUCUAUGUUCCUUGGAACAGGACGUCAUAGAGGGUGAGAAUCCCGUGUGGCGAGGAUCCCAGUCCUUUGUAAAGUGCUUUCGACGAGUCGAGUUGUUUGGGAAUGCAGCUCUAAGUGGGUGGUAAAUUCCAUCUAAAGCUAAAUAUUGGCGAGAGACCGAUAGCGAACAAGUACAGUGAUGGAAAGAUGAAAAGAACUUUGAAAAGAGAGUGAAAAAGUACGUGAAAUUGUUGAAAGGGAAGGGCAUUUGAUCAGACAUGGCGUUUGCUUCGGCUUUCGCUGGGCCAGCAUCAGUUUUGGCGGUUGGAUAAAUCCUCGGGAAUGUGGCUCUACUUGUAGAGUGUUAUAGCCCGUGGGAAUACAGCCA